rnacentral:rRNA from 1 species
UACGUAGGUGGCAAGCGUCGUCCGGAUUUAUUGGGUUUAAAGGGUGCGUAGGCGGUCUAUUAAGUCAGUGCUGAAAUAUCCCGGCUUAACCGGGAGGGUGGCAUUGAUACUGAUGGACUUGAGUAAAGUUUGAGGUUGGCGGAAUUGACGGUGUAGCGGUGAAAUGCUUAGAUAUCGUCAAGAACACCUAUUGCGAAGGCAGCUAACUAAGCUUAAAACUGACGCUGAGGCACGAAAAGUGUGGGGGAUCAAAACAGG